AUUGAACGCUGGCGGCAUGCCUUACACAUGCAAGUCGAACGGCAGCACGGGAGCAAUCCUGGUGGCGAGCGGCGAACGGGUGAGUAAUAUAUCGGAACGUGCCCAGUCGUGGGGGAUAACGCAGCGAAAGCUGUGCUAAUACCGCAUACGAUCUAAGGAUGAAAGCGGGGGAUCGCAAGACCUCGCGCGAUUGGAGCGGCCGAUAUCGGAUUAGCUAGUUGGUGGGGUAAAGGCCCACCAAGGCGACGAUCUGUAGCUGGUCUGAGAGGACGACCAGCCACACUGGAACUGAGACACGGUCCAGACUCCUACGGGAGGCAGCAGUGGGGAAUUUUGGACAAUGGGCGCAAGCCUGAUCCAGCAAUGCCGCGUGCAGGAUGAAGGCCUUCGGGUUGUAAACUGCUUUUGUACGGAACGAAACGGCCCUUUCUAAUACAGGGGGCUAAUGACGGUACCGUAAGAAUAAGCACCGGCUAACUACGUGCCAGCAGCCGCCGUAA
rnacentral:rRNA from 1 species